rnacentral:rRNA from 1 species
UACGAAGGGGGCUAGCGUUGCUCGGAAUCACUGGGCGUAAAGCGCACGUAGGCGGAUCGUUAAGUCAGGGGUGAAAUCCUGGAGCUCAACUCCAGAACUGCCUUUGAUACUGGCGACCUUGAGUUCGGGAGAGGUGAGUGGAACUGCGAGUGUAGAGGUGAAAUUCGUAGAUAUUCGCAAGAACACCAGUGGCGAAGGCGGCUCACUGGCCCGGUACUGACGCUGAGGUGCGAAAGCGUGGGGAGCAACAGG